AUUGAACGCUGGCGGAAUGCUUUACACAUGCAAGUCGAACGGCAGCACGGGGCAACCUGGUGGCGAGUGGCGAACGGGUGAGUAAUACAUCGGAACGUGCCCAGUCGUGGGGGAUAACGUAGCGAAAGUUACGCUACUACCGCAUACGAUCUAAGGAUGAAAGCGGGGGAUCGCAAGACCUCGCGCGAUUGGAGCGGCCGAUGUCAGAUUAGGUAGUUGGUGGGGUAAAGGCCCACCAAGCCGACGAUCUGUAGCAGGUAUGGGAGGACGACCAACCACACGGGGACUGAGACGCGGCCCGGACUCCGACGGGAGGCAGCAGUGGUGAAUUUUGGACAAUGGGCGCAAGCCUGAUCCAGCCAUUCCGCGUGCAGGAUGAAGGCCUUCGGGUUGUAAACUGCUUUUGUACGGAGCGAAAAGGCUCUCUCUAAUACAGGGGGCUCAUGACGGUACCGUAAGAAUAAGCACCGGCUAACUACGUGCCAGCCGCCGCGGUAA
rnacentral:rRNA from 1 species